rnacentral:rRNA from 1 species
UACAGAGGUCUCAAGCGUUGUUCGGAUUCAUUGGGCGUAAAGGGUGCGUAGGCGGCGCGGUAAGUCGGGUGUGAAAUCUCGGAGCUUAACUCCGAAACUGCAUUCGAUACUGCUGUGCUUGAGGACUGGAGAGGAGACUGGAAUUUACGGUGUAGCGGUGAAAUGCGUAGAUAUCGUAAGGAAGACCAGUGGCGAAGGCGGGUCUCUGGACAGUUCCUGACGCUGAGGCACGAAAGCGUGGGGAGCAAACAGG